GCGAGUCUGAAUAGGGCGAAUGAGUAUUUGGUCGUAGACCCGAAACCAGGUGAUCUACCCUUGGUCAGGUUGAAGUUCAGGUAACACUGAAUGGAGGACCGAACCGACUUACGUUGAAAAGUGAGCGGAUGAACUGAGGGUAGCGGAGAAAUUCCAAUCGAACUUGGAGAUAGCUGGUUCUCUCCGAAAUAGCUUUAGGGCUAGCCUCAAGUGAUGAUUAUUGGAGGUAGAGCACUGUUUGGACGAGGGGCCCCUCUCGGGUUACCGAAUUCAGACAAACUCCGAAUGCCAAAUAAUUUAACUUGGGAGUCAGAAUGUGGGUGAUAAGGUCCAUAUUCGAAAGGGAAACAGCCCAGACCACCAGCUAAGGUCCCAAAAUAUAUGUUAAGUGGAAAAGGAUGUGGCGUUGCCCAGACAACUAGGAUGUUGGCUUAGAAGCAGCCAUCAUUUAAAGAGUGCGUA
rnacentral:rRNA from 1 species